rnacentral:rRNA from 1 species
GACGAACGCUGGCGGCGUGCUUAACACAUGCAAGUCGAACGGUGAAGCGCCUUCCUUUUUGGUGGGUGUGGAUGAGUGGCGAACGGGUGAGUAACACGUGAGUAACCUGCCCCCUUCUUCUGGAUAACCGCAUGAAAGUGUGGCUAAUACGGGAUAUUCUGGGUCUGUCGCAUGAUGGGUCUGGGAAAGAUAUUGUUUCGGUGGGGGAUGGGCUCGCGGCCUAUCAGCUUGUUGGUGGGGUGAUGGCCUACCAAGGCGGUGACGGGUAGCCGGCCUGAGAGGGUGGACGGUCACACUGGGACUGAGACACGGCCCAGACUGCGACGGGAGGCAGCAGUGGGGAAUAUUGCACAAUGGGCGCAAGCCUGAUGCAGCGACGCCGCGUGAGGGAUGGAGGCCUGCGGGUUGUGAACCUCUUUCGCCAGUGAAGCAGGCCUGCCUCGUUUGUGGGUGGGUUGACGGUAGCUGGAUAAGAAGCGCCGGCUAACUACGUG